rnacentral:rRNA from 1 species
GACGAACGCUGGCGGCGUGCUUAACACAUGCAAGUCGAACGGAAAGGCCCUGCUUUUGUGGGGUGCUCGAGUGGCGAACGGGUGAGUAACACGUGAGUAACCUGCCCUUGACUUUGGGAUAACUUCAGGAAACUGGGGCUAAUACCGGAUAGGAGCUCCUGCUGCAUGGUGGGGGUUGGAAAGUUUCGGCGGUUGGGGAUGGACUCGCGGCUUAUCAGCUUGUUGGUGGGGUAGUGGCUUACCAAGGCUUUGACGGGUAGCCGGCCUGAGAGGGUGACCGGCCACAUGGGGACUGAGAUACGGCCCAGACUCCUACGGGAGGCAGCAGUGGGGAAUAUUGCACAAUGGGCGGAAGCCUGAUGCAGCAACGCCGCGUGCGGGAGGACGGCCUUCGGGUUGGAAACCGCUUUCGCCUGUGACGAAGCGUGAGUGACGGUAAUGGGUAAAGAAGCACCGGCUAACUACGU